GUCUUUUUGAUUAUAAUUUAAGGUUUAAUCUGCUCAAUGAUUAUUUAAAUUGCCGCAGUAUUUUGACUGUGCAAAGGUAGCAUAAUAAUUAGUUUCUUUAUUGGGAACUGGAAUGAAUGAUUGGACGAGAAAAUUUCUGUCUCUUUAUUAUUUUAAUUGAAUUUUACUUUUAAGUUAAAAGGCUUAAAUUUUAUUAGAGGACGAGAAGACCCUAUAGAGUUUAAUUUUUAUUUAAAUAAUUAUUUUUAGUAUUUAUAUAUAUUAUUUAAAUAAAAAUUUAGUUGGGGUGACUAAAAGAUAAGAAUAACUCUUUUAAUUUUUAUCAAUUAUUUUUGAUUAUAAAAUCUUUAUUUUUAAUUUUAAAAUAAAUUACCUUAGGGAUAACAGCGUAAUUCUUUUUUAAAGUUCUUAUUAAAAGAAGAGUUUGCGACCUCGAUGUUGGAUUAAAAUUAAUUUUAGGUGUAGAAGCUUGAAAAUUAAGUCUGUUCGACUUUUAAAAUUUUACAUGAUCUGAGUUUAAACCGGUGUGAGCCAGGUUGGUUUCUAUCCUUAAUUAUAUAUUAUACU
rnacentral:rRNA from 1 species